CUUUUCCAAACAGACUAACAGGGUAUCUGACCUCCUGCUGGUCAGUGCCCUUGUUAGUCCAGCAGCCCACCUACAAAACACAAUCAACGGCACAGCCCACCCACAAUAAAUGGUUACUACACCGGGGUAGAGGAGAAGCUUGUCCAUAUCUAGGGGCCUCACCAUGGCUGUGCUGGGUACGGGUAUGCUGACUUGGUGGGUUGCUGAGUGGGCAGAGACCAGCGGUACUCUGCCCUGGUGCCAGCGCUACUGGGAAGGUAGCCUGGUUGAAGCCUGGUUGUUGGAGGGGGAGACCGAC